GAGGAGUGCACAGUCGUUGGCGCUUGCCUAGUGUGCGAGGUUUGCACCUCAUACGCACGCAUACAUACGCAUAGAUACACCCUUGCGAAACAACGAAACACACAUUGACGGGCAGUGGCACUGGUAAGUUAUCUUCACACAGGCGCACAAACCACCAUCCUCGACGCCCCUUCCAUCCCACCUCAAACCUGGCCCCUCGGCCACCUUUUCCGUUCACCACACACACACACACACACACACACACACACGGUCAUAUACGCCUGCUUCGCGCUGCUCGUCCACCACCACCUCCUUCUCCUCCGUGCGGGCGAGCUCGAGUCUUCUCCUGCGACACCUCGGGGCUACACAGACUUCUCUCCAUAAAUAUAUAUAUACACGUGGUGGCGAGCCGCCUUCUCAAUCAUAAGCAUCCCUCAAGCUUCAUUCCGCAGUUUCCUUCUCCGUCGCUCUCAUUCGCAAGUACCCUGGACGUCGUCCGCUGCCGGUGCGCACUACUGUCCUUGCCCAGCCGUACUAUCUCACUCUUCGCUGCCCUGGAGCGUCCCUGCGUUCUUAUUGGUGGAUGACGUCUUGUCACGCAUGCAGUAUCAUGUGCAGCUCGGCCUAGCACCCUCGUGCGCGGCGAGCGACUUCGACGGCGGUGAUGGGGUCCGCGGUACCGCUUCUUCGCCGUCGCUCGUCGCAUCGCCUUCUUCGACUUCAGCUCAAGCGAACUCAUCGCCAGCCCACCACCGGGAAAGCGCCAGCGGUAGCGGUGUCGGCAUCACCGUCGGCCAAGGUCUUUUGAGCGGUCGCCGCCUCGCUGUGCGACUGGCACCACCGUUGACAUCAAGUGCAACCCCUGUAGCCCAUGUCCCCGCUAGCGCCGCCGGAGGCAUGAGAGGAGGUGCGAGCCAUUGGCACUCAGGCGACAGCCUUUCCAGUGGUGCUCACCGUGGCAUGUGCGCGUCCUCUUCUCACCAUGCCGCAUCCGAAAUUCCGGCCUCGAAGACGAGCACCACCACCGGCAGAGUCAGAACCUCCUCGACCUACGGCAAAGGUAUCGUCCGCAUCAGCGAGCUUCGGCGGCAAGGGGUAACCUCCGUCGAAUCAGGCCUGCGGCUGGCCACACUCGCAGGAGGCCGCUCGGUAGCCGCGACUACAUCCACUCACGGAAGCGACGAUGCUCAUGGUGGUGCCAGCGAGGACGGAGAAGCCUUUUACGAGGCCUCGGCCCCGCAUGCCGCGCCCUCGCAGCGGCGCACACGGCAGCGUGGCUCACCAACGCGGGCAGCCACCACUUCCGCAUCUGUCUCGUCCUCGAUACAUGCACGCGGUGGUCGUAGCGAUCCAAGCACCAGGGGCAGUGCACAACGUCGCGGCCGAGGGAGCAGUGGUGGCUCGCGGGCCUCCGCAGCGGUUACACUGCGCAGUGACGGACAGUUGUGUGACUACCGCUGGUUCACCGCGCGUGGGCGCCGCUGUUUUGUCUACGACGGCCGCACGUACAAAGGCUCUAGCGCCCAUCGAAUGUGGGAGAAGGUCAAGGGGGCGGCGCGGCAGCGUGGUGUGUUGCCGCCGCAGCAAGCCGCGGCGGCGUCGCGCACAUCGCAUGCACCACGUGCUCGCGGAAGAGCAGAUGCCAGCGUUGCCCACUCAAUAGCAGCGGUGCACGCUACUGUGCCGCGUGUGCACCAGGCGUCCGCUCGCGCGCGCUCCGCAGCUGAGCACGUUCUUCUCCCACAGCAAACAAAACGGAGGUCGACCGCGGUAUCCCCAGGACUGGUCGACGACGCGACCCGCACCGGGGUUCUCGCUACUUCACAGUUGUCGGGGGAGUGGCGCACCCUGAUGGAGGAGCUUGGUAUGAUGCCAGAUGACGACAGGGGUGCGAUGGCAAGCGGCAGAGAAGGGUGCCUCUUCAAAGUAGCGGGUGGAACGCAGCCUCCGGAUGGUGCCGGAUCGAUCAGGCCGCCCUGCGCUCCACCGUGCCGUGCUAACCUCUCCGCGAGCAACGCAGCCACGGAGGAUGUGAUUGAAAUCAGCGACAGUAACUCGACCAGCAACGACACGGACGGCUCUGACUCCGACACUUCUAGCACUCUGUCAUCGACAGUGUCGCCCACUGGGGUGAGCGACGACGCUGACCGUGGGCAGCGUAAGGGCAACACUGUUGCGGCUGGUGCCCCACUGCAGUGGCCCGCCACGUCCUACUUUAGCGACGCGAGCAGUGUGUGGUCUUCUGCGUCAUCCUCCACGACGUCACCUGCUCGGCCGCCAUCGUCGACGUCGAGCAGCUCGCCGAGGCGGAAGCGAGGAAAGCAAGAGCGGUGCACGAAGCACCCUGUAGCCAGCACCACCACCACUGGUGCGCCGGCACGCCUUCGCAGAUAUCACGGGGUGCAGGUGGUGGAGCAGGACGGGUGGGUAUACCCGGUGGAUGUGUACGCAUCGCAGCAGCAGCAACAGGGGCGGGAAGGUGGACAAGUGAGAGAGACAGCACCAGGCAUAGCUUCUCAUGGUGCCACUCUACCAGCUUCGAUCGGGAACCGCACCGGUGUUAGCGGUGGCCGGCCGUCAGUGCCCUGUGGCGUCGAUGACCUGCCCUUGGCUGAUCUCUACAGAGAGGCGGUGACUACGCAAAGCAAUGUGGCCCUCCCCUCACAACUCUCUGCUCCCGCGCUGCUGGCUGUACCCUUACCGUCUUCCAAGGCGUCUGCGGGGCUGUCUGUAGUGAGUGGGAGCGGCGCAGCUGUCCCGGUGCGAUCUGCCGCUGUUUCAAGCGCGGCUCAGGGACGCCUUCUGAGCAGUUCCGUCGCACUCCAAAGCAACGUUGGUAGGGGUUGCGUCUCCGCGUUCUUGGGUGCUGAUGACAACCUCGACGACUUCAAUACCGCAGACCUUGCCGACAUGUUCGUCACGGGAGAAGAAAUCGGCGGGCUCCGCUACGAUGGCUGAACACGAAUGAAGGUGAACCGUUCAUCGCUCUCUCCAAGGCGGCCUGCCUCCCUUUCCGAGAGGGCGCCGCCUACGCCCACGAAUGGAGUGCCCGACACUGGGAGCGAC
rnacentral:misc_RNA from 1 species